GACGAACGCUGGCGGCGUGCUUAACACAUGCAAGUCGAACGGAAAGGCCUGCUUUCCCUUGUGGAUUGCGGGUACUCGAGUGGCGAACGGGUGAGUAACACGUGAGUGAUCUGCCCCCAACUUGGGUAUAAGCCUGGGAAACUGGGUCUAAUUCCCGAUAGGACUGCAGGGUGGUGCCUGUGGUGGAAAACGAUUUUCUAGUGGUUGGGGAUGAGCUCGCGGCCUAUCAGCUUGUUGGUGGGGUAAUGGCCGACCAAGGCGGCGACGGGUAGCCGGCCUGAGAGUGUGGACCGCCACAGUGGGACUGAGAUACGGCCCAGACUCCUACGGGAGGAAGCAGUGGGGAGUCAUGCACGAUGGACGGAAGCCUAAUGGAGCAACGCCGCGUGGGGGAUGACGGCCUUCGGGUUGUAGACUCCUUUCGACCGCGAGGAAGCCACCUGGUUGGAACGGUGGUGACGGUAGUGGUAGAAGAAGCACCGGCUAACUACGUG
rnacentral:rRNA from 1 species